rnacentral:rRNA from 1 species
AAAUCUCGUGCCAGCCACCGCGGUUAGACGAGAGGCCCCAGUUGAUAAUACAACGGCGUAAAGGGUGGUUAAGGACAGAUAAAAUUAAAGCCAAAUGGCCCCUUGGCCGUCAUACGCUCCUAGGCGUCCGAAGCCCUAACACGAAAGUAGCUUUAAACAAGCCCACCUGAACCCACGAAAGCUGAGAAACAAACUGGGAUUAGAUACCCCACUAUGCUCAGCCAUAAACCUAGACAUUUAACUACAAUUUAAUGUCCGCCAGGGUACUACGAGCAUUAGCUUAAAACCCAAAAGACCUGACGGUGUCUCAAACCCCCCUAGAGGAGCCUGUUCUAGAACCGAUAAUCCCCGUUAAACCUCACCACAUCUAGUCACCCCAGCCUAUAUACCGCCGUCGUCAGCUUACCCUGUGAAGGACUUAAAAGUAAGCAAAAUGGGUACAACCCAAAACGUCAGGUCGAGGUGUAGCGCAUGAAGUGGAAAGAAAUGGGCUACAUUUUCUACUACAGAAUAUCACGAAUAUGCACCAUGAAACAAUGCUUGAAGGAGGAUUUAGUAGUAAAAAGGAAAUAGAGAGUCCUUUUGAACCCGGCCCUGAGACGCGUACACACCGCCCGUC